rnacentral:rRNA from 1 species
CGAAGGGGGCGAGCGUUGUUCGGAAUUACUGGGCGUAAAGGGCGCGUAGGCGGCGACCCAAGUCAGAUGUGAAAGUCCUGGGCUUAACCUGGGGACUGCAUUUGAUACUGGGUUGCUUGAAUUCGGGAGAGGAUAGCGGAAUUCCCAGUGUAGAGGUGAAAUUCGUAGAUAUUGGGAAGAACACCGGUGGCGAAGGCGGCUAUCUGGACCGACAUUGACGCUGAGGCGCGAAAGCGUGGGAAGCAAACAGGAUUAGAUACCCUGGUAGUCCACGCCGUAAACGAUGAAUGCUAGACGCUGGGGAGCAUGCUCUUCGGUGUCGCAGCUAACGCAUUAAGCAUUCCGCCUGGGGAGUACGGUCGCAAGAUUA